rnacentral:rRNA from 1 species
UACGUAGGGUGCGAGCGUUAAUCGGAAUUACUGGGCGUAAAGCGUGCGCAGGCGGUUCGUGAUGUCUGGUGUGAAAGCCCCGGGCUUAACCUGGGAAUUGCAUUGGAAACUAGCGGGCUGGAGUGUGGCAGAGGGGGGUGGAAUUCCACGUGUAGCAGUGAAAUGCGUAGAGAUGUGGAGGAACACCGACGGCGAAGGCAGCCCCCUGGGCUAACACUGACGCUCAUGCACGAAAGCGUGGGGAGCAAUCAGG